GGUUGUGGCUCAGUGGUAGAGCGCUUAGUUGGCAUGUUUGGGGCACUGGGUUCGAUUCUCAGCGCCA
rnacentral:tRNA from 1 species